GCUUUGGACCGCUCGAAAUCGCC
rnacentral:siRNA from 1 species